CACACUCAACUGAUAGAAUGAGUGUGUCCACAUGGAAGUGUGCACACUGACCUGUUAGAAUGAGUGUGUCCCUGUGGAAGUGUGCACACUGAACUGUUAGAAUGAGUAUGUCCCUGUGGAGGUGUGCACACUAAACUGUUAGAAUGAGUGUGUCCACAUGGAGGUGUGCACACUGAACUGAUAGAAUGAGUGUGUCCCUGUGGAGGUGUGCACACUGAACUGAUAGAGUGAGUGUGCCCCUGUGGAGGUGUGCACACUGAACUAUUAGAAUGGCUGUGUCCCUGUGGAGGUGUGCACACUGAACACUUAGAAACUGUGUCCCCAUGAAGGUGUGCACACUGAACUAUUAGAAUGAGUGUGUCCCUGUGGAGGUGUGCACACUGAACUAUUAGAAUGACUGUGUCCCUGUGGAGGUGUGCACACUGAACUAUUAGAAUGACUGUGUCCCUGUGGAGGUGUGCACACUGAACUGUUAGAAUGAGUGUGUCCUCAUGGAGGUGUGCACACUGACCUGUUAGAAUGAGUGUGUCCCUGUGGAGGUGUGCACACUGACCUGUUAGAAUGAG